rnacentral:rRNA from 1 species
UACGUAGGUGGCAAGCGUUGUCCGGAUUUACUGGGCGUAAAGAGCGCGCAGGCGGUCGUUCAAGUCGCGUGUGAAAGCCCCCGGCUCAACUGGGGAGGGUCACGCGAUACUGAUCGACUCGAAGGCAGGAGAGGGUAGUGGAAUUCCCGGUGUAGUGGUGAAAUGCGUAGAUAUCGGGAGGAACACCAGUGGCGAAGGCGACUACCUGGCCUGUUCUUGACGCUGAGGCGCGAAAGCAUGGGGAGCGAACAGG